AUUGAACGCUGGCGGCAGGCCUAACACAUGCAAGUAGAGCGAGUGGCGGACGGGUGAGUAAUGUCUGGGAAACUGCCUGAUGGAGGGGGAUAACUAAUGGAAACGGUAGAUAAUACCGCAUACCAUCGGAUCUGCCCAGAUGGGAUUAGAUAGUAGGUGGGGUAACGGCUCACCUAGGCGACGAUCCCUAGCUGGUCUGAGAGGAUGACCAGCCACACUGGAACUGAUACACGGUCCAGACUCUUACGUGAGGCAGCAGUGGGGAAUAUUGCACAAUGGGCGCAAGCCUGAUGCAUCCAUGCCGCGUGUAUGAAGAAGGCCUUCGGGUUGUAAAGUACUUUCAGCGGGGAGGCGUUACCCGCAGAAGAAGCACCGGCUAACUCCGUGCCAGCAGCCGCGGUAAUUC
rnacentral:rRNA from 1 species